CNNGGGNAUGGCAUGGGNGUAAGCCUGAUCCAGCCAUGCCGCGUGUNUGAAGAAGGUCUUCGGAUUGUAAAGCACUUUAAGUUGGGAGGAAGGGUUUCUGGCUAAUAUCCAGGAAUUUUGACGUUACCGACAGAAUAAGCACCGGCUAACUUCGUGCCAGCAGCCGCGGUAAUAA
rnacentral:rRNA from 1 species